AUUAGUACUUUUGGGUUGAGGCUUUUGGGCAGGAGCGGCAGCGUCCAACCGUAACCUAAGUGACUUUG